AUGGUACCUAACCUUCUUCUUUCACAUCUUUCCAUAGAGGGGAACAGUCGGUUGUGUGUCUCUGUUAGGGACUACUACUGUUACCGGCUACAAACACGCCCUGCAAUAUUCAACCCCAUACUUCACGGAGCACGCUUGUUCCAGCAAUGGGGCGUCGACAUGUUCAUCAAGAUUGAGGGUUGUAGGCUGAAGUGGAUCAGGGACCACUAG
rnacentral:rRNA from 1 species